rnacentral:rRNA from 1 species
AUCUACCUUUUACAGAGGGAUAGCCCAGAGAAAUUUGGAUUAAUACCUCAUAGUAUUAUAGAAUGGCAUCAUUUUAUAAUUAAAGUCACAACGGUAAAAGAUGAGCAUGCGUCCCAUUAGCUAGUUGGUAAGGUAACGGCUUACCAAGGCUACGAUGGGUAGGGGUCCUGAGAGGGAGAUCCCCCACACUGGUACUGAGACACGGACCAGACUCCUACGGGAGGCAGCAGUGAGGAAUAUUGGACAAUGGGCGCAAGCCUGAUCCAGCCAUGCCGCGUGCAGGAUGACGGUCCUAUGGAUUGUAAACUGCUUUUAUACGAGAAGAAACACUCCUUCGUGAAGGAGCUUGACGGUAUCGUAAGAAUAAGGAUCGGCUAACUCCGUGCCAGCAGCCGCGGUAAUACGGAGGAUCCAAGCGUUAUCCGGAAUCAUUGGGUUUAAAGGGUCCGUAGGCGGUUUAGUAAGUCAGUGGUGAAAGCCCAUCGCUCAACGGUGGAACGGCCAUUGAUACUGCUAGACUUGAAUUAUUAGGAAGUAACUAGAAUAUGUAGUGUAGCGGUGAAAUGCUUAGAGAUUACAUGGAAUACCAAUUGCGAAGGCAGGUUACUACUAAUGGAUUGACGCUGAUGGACGAAAGCGUGGGUAGCGAACAGGAUUAGAUACCCUGGUAGUCCACGCCGUAAACGAUGGAUACUAGCUGUUGGGAGCAAUCUCAGUGGCUAAGCGAAAGUGAUAAGUAUCCCACCUGGGGAGUACGUUCGCAAGAAUGAAACUCAAAGGAAUUGACGGGGGCCCGCACAAGCGGUGGAGCAUGUGGUUUAAUUCGAUGAUACGCGAGGAACCUUACCAA